UACAGAGGGGGCAAGCGUUGUUCGGAAUUACUGGGCGUAAAGGGCGCGUAGGCGGCCUUCUAAGUCGAACGUGAAAUCCCUAGGCUCAACCUAGGAACUGCGUCCGAUACUGGGAGGCUUGAAUCCGGGAGAGGGAUGCGGAAUUCCAGGUGUAGCGGUGAAAUUCGUAGAUAUUGGGAAGAACACCGGUGGCGAAGGCGGCUCUCUGGACCGAUACUGACGCUGAGGCGCGAAAGCGUGGGGAGCAAACAGG
rnacentral:rRNA from 1 species